AUACCAGUUGAAUACUCAGUAAGCAACUACAGCUGUAAAUAUCAUAACAAAAUAGAAUUUCAUAUAUGAAAGGACAUGCUUAAUUUAAACUUUAUCAUGCACAUACAUACAAUGAUACAAAUACUAUAAUCAAUCUAUGGCCAGCAUGCAUGCCCCAUGUGUAGGAGUUAGUGAUCUUAAUGAUCACAAUUCCAACCCAUGGCCACAGGUGGAACCCAGUCAAAGAAGGAAUGGACAUAACUAGGUGCAUGGUGAAGCAUGGAGAGGAUGGCGUUUGAAUGAGGGUUGCUGCAACAGGUGAAAUGGAUGGAGCUAUGGCUUGUUCUCAAUUUCUUGGACAGCCAACAAUUAGUAGACCUGAAGGGUGAGCCCAGCACUUAAACAGAGAAGGAGAAGCACACUUUUUUUUACUUGAUUUUGUCUUACCUGAAUGUUGCUAUAGUUCUUAGAGAGUUUCUUCCCAAGUGUAAGGCAAUAAACUUAAAGAAAAGAGCGGAGAAGCAGGCGGCACAGCUGGGGUCUUUUCUCUGGUUGAGACAGUAAAGGGUUGGGUUGGAACUGAAGAAGAAAACUUGGUUUUUUUACGCUUCCCUGAGGUUUGUGGCACAAGGCAGAAUUUGUGGCAUCUUUUUUUUUUGACAAUCUCUGACCUGAUAAGUUUGUCAUAAUUAGUAGUCAAAUAGAUGGAACAUUUAGUAUUCUACUGGUACGUUAUUUAGAAUAUCAAAUUACUGUGGUCUACUU